AAAAAACAAAAAAAACAAAAACAAAACAAAACGAGAGCGCUGAGAAGUGAACCAGCAAAAAUGAACUGCACUGCCUCCAAUCAUCUGGUCUUCACGACCAGCCCAAAUCUCACUCUCAGAGGCGACCGCUCACCAAAGCAAUUGCUAUUCUUCUUCUGCAAAAUCCCAACUCCCUCUCCCAACGGUAACAUUCCACAAACAUACCAUACUCGCCAAAACUCAGUGUGCGGACGAGUUCAUUCACCACAUUUCUGCUCUUCUCAAGAUCCCAUUGAGAAAAAGACCCAUGUCAUCACCGAAAUAUUCGUUCUAUUUGUAUUCUCUCUGACGCUUCUCUGCAUCCGCCUUCUCUCCAAUGCGCUUCUGCCCGAUUUUCCUCAGCGUUGGCGCAGUCUCGUGGCCUUUUCGGAAGAAGCUGAGGCCAGGGUCAGUGCUUAUCCUUCACAUUUGUGGAAAGCCAUUGUGGCUUAUGAGGAUCGGAGAUUCUUUAGCCAUUUUGGAGUCGAUCCAGUUGGGAUUGCUCGUGCCGCGCUGUCCUUAUCGGCUCUCGGGGGCGGCAGCACCAUUACCCAACAGCUUGUCAAGAACACAUGCUUAAAAAAUGAGCGCACAUUCUCAAGGAAAAUUGUUGAGAUGGUGCUAGCACUGGCAUUGGAGAGAACAAUAUCAAAAUGGAGAAUAUUGAGCUUAUAUAUGAGUAAGAUAUACUGGGGACAUGGUAUUUACGGCGUUGAAUCAGCAUCGAUUUUUUAUUUUGGGAAGCAUCCGUCCCUUCUCUGUCUGGGGGAGUCUGCACUGCUUGCUGGGAUCAUACCUGCACCAGAGCUUCGAUCACCAUUCAGGGACUGUAGCAGAGGGAAAACCUUCCAAGCUAGAGUUUUGAAGAGGAUGGUGGAAUUUGGAUUUCUUGAUGUUGAGACUGCACUUUUGGCUGUGAAACAAUCUCUUCAACCACGUAUUAAUUGCCCAGAAUAUUCAGAUGGAAUCUUGCUCCAGUUGUCUUUACCCAAUAAGGGACUUUAUUGGGCCAAAGGGAAACAAGGACAUGUACAAUUGCCUAUCAUGGAAAUAUGGGACUGGGAAAAAGAAAGCAAGGUAUGGGAAGUAAUGGAGGAGAUGGAAAAUUGGGCCUGUAGGCUUUCUGAACUGAAGAACAAUAAUUUCCGGUUGAAACUAAAAGGAGAUGAAUCCAGAUGUCUUUAGAAGUUUAUGAUAGCAAAGAAUUACAGACUAAAGUUUGUUCCUUAUAAGUUUAUUAAGAAAAAGAGGCAGAUUUGAAGGCCUUGAACAUCACUGGGGAUGAAUAUGAACAUAUCCAUGUCAGUUUAAACUACGAGUACCAGUUAAGGCUGUGGACAUGAUCAUGGUGAGUACAUGUUAAUUUUUUCCCCUUCUACAUAACGAUUGAUCAGUAGCUCCUCUAGCUUAUCUUCUACUUUCAGGGCUUCAUUUGUGUUCUUCUGUGACUUCCCUUCGUAACAUUCUCUUUGUUUCACACAUUCAGUGAGCAUUAUAACCACACAGUGAUCCUGAAAUAUUCUAAUUUCUUCUUUUCUAAAAAAGUUCUUGAGUUACAUUUAAUUGUAUAGACACGUUUUGAAACCGUGAGAGUCCAUUGAGCCUAAAGUGUUACACGGGAGGGAGCGGACUAAAUGGUAUGGAACCCAACCCACCAAGUCUUUAUGUCUUGUGGGGUUAGCAUUUGCAGCCCUGAUUCGGUUAGAAUACAAAUGAGAGUUGAUGUGCAGACACAAUGACGAUGUUGUAACACUAUAUUAAGUAAUGAAUUCCUCUUAAUUGU